UCCAAAUCUCAUGUUGAAUUUUAACUCCCAGUGUUGGCGGUGUGGCCUGGUGGGAAGUGAUUGGAUCCUGUGGGUGGUUUCUAAUGGGUUAGCACUAUUCCACUAGUGCUGUCUCAUGAUGAACUUCUCAGGAGAUCUGCUCGUUUGAAAGUGUAUAGCACCUCCCCCUUCACUCUCCCUUCCUCCUGCUCCCGCCAUGAAGAUGUGCUUGCUUCUCCUUCACCUCCACCAUGACUGUAAGUUUCCUGAGACCUCCCCAGCCGUGCCUCCUAUACAGCCUGUGGAACUAGUGACAUAAAGCUUGAGAACUACCAGCCUGAGCAACAUCAUGAGAUCCCAUCUCUACAAACAAAUUUAAAAAAUUAGCCAGGCAUGGUGUUGCCUGCCUAUAGUCAUAGCCAUUCAAGAAGCUGAGGCAGGAGGAUCACUUGAGCCCAGGAGUUCCAGGUUACAAUGAGCUAUGAUCUUGCCACUCCAUGAGAACUUGGCAACAGUGGAAGACUCUGUUUCUAAACAAUAAAAAUGUAAAAAGAAAAAUUUAUUUGUAAACAUGGUCUUCAAAGAUAUCAUUAACUUCAGGGCUCUGAGAUGAGGUAAUUCUGGAUUCUGGAUUAUAUGGUGGACCCUAAAUCCAAUAUAAAUAUCCUUGGAAGAAACAUAAAAAGUAAAGACACACAAACACACAGAAGAGAAGCAACGUGAAGAUGAAGCAGAUAUUGGAGCCAUGUGACCACAAGCCAAGAAACUCCAAAGUGCACCUGGAGCCACCAAAAGCUACAAACAGGGAAGGAAUGGAUUCUUCCCCAGAGCCUCCAGAGGCAGUACAGCCCUGAUUAUGUCUUUUCCCUUCUGCUUUUUUGCCAUCGAUAUCUAAAGUUGUCUCCUGCUCUUCUCUGCUGAUUUCUCAGUCAGCCACACCCAAGUUAAACCCAUGACCCACUUUAUCUACAUUUGGGGACUUUUAUGAAAUUGUCAAUUAGCAUAUUAUAAAGGACUCAGACUAUUUACCCUGCUGGUAACUUUAAAAACUUGUUACAUGCUACAAAAUAUUAUAUUUUAUAGUAGUGAGUUAUCAUUGUCUGGAAUUAAAGAAUUUUCCUAAAACCUUAUAAAUCCGAACUUCAUUUUAUGCUACAACAAGUUAGCAGGAUAUUAACUUUAAUGAAUUUUGAAUCUCUAAUUAUUUUAGUUUCUUUGUCUUGUGAGACCAUAAUUUUUGCAGUUUUCCCUUAUG
rnacentral:lncRNA from 1 species